GAUGAACGCUAGCGGCAGGCUUAACACAUGCAAGUCGAGGGGUAUAGUUCUUCGGAGCUAGAGACCGGCGCACGGGCGCGUAACGCGUAUGCAAUCUGCCUUCCACAGAGGGAUAGCCCAGAGAAAUUUGGAUUAAUACCUCAUAGCAUCAUGUUCCGGCAUCGGAAUAUGAUUAAAGUCACAACGGUGGAAGAUGAGCAUGCGUCCCAUUAGCUAGUUGGUAAGGUAACGGCUUACCAAGGCGACGAUGGGUAGGGGUCCUGAGAGGGAGAUCCACCACACUGGUACUGAGACACGGGCCAGACUCCUACGGGAGGCAGCAGUGAGGAAUAUUGGUCAAUGGGCGCAAGCCUGAACCAGCCAUGCCGCGUGCAGGAUGACGGUCCUAUGGAUUGUAAACUGCUUUUGUACGGGAAGAAACACUCCCUCGUGAGGGAGCUUGACGGUACCGUAAGAAUAAGGAUCGGCUAACUCCGUGCCAGCCGCCGCGGUAA
rnacentral:rRNA from 1 species